AAAGUGACUAAUCUCGUUGGUUGAGGCAAUAUUGGUCAAAUUAACUGUGACAUUGGUAACUAUUAAACAAACAAAUUGGUUAUCUAACAACUAAUAUCAUUGGUUAAGAACAAAUUGGUUGAUUUAACAAAGAUAUUGGUUAACUUUAAUAACAGAUUGGUUGAAAAAUGACUAAUAUCAUUGGUUAAGCAAAUGUUAACUAAGAGAUUGGUAACUGACGCAGGUCUGACGCUCAACGUCAAGUACGUAACUCUGCUUCUCAAUUUUCUGACAAAGCCGCCAUCUUGGUGCUGCAGGAAAGCCGUUUGAGAUAUUGGUGGAAUUCAAACACUUUGUGAGAUGACAGAAUAUUGCUGAAGGAUCCUACAUGGAAGCUGGCUGAUUACACGGAGUGAUUCCUCUGGUGUGGUGUACCUCAGAGAAAUAAACACUGUUGCAAGAGCUGAGAAGAUGGCCAAGAUAUCCUUAUUGCUGGAUGGUAGCUCUGGUCGUAGUGGACCAUAUCUGCAAAUGCUUCUGAACAUUGACAGAAUUUCUAAAGGAUCGCUGAGGACUCCCCCUCCAUGCGUGACAUCUUUGAGAAAUUUCCACGCUUUCUGGAGAUGCCAAGUUUGACUGGAACCAACUUUGCAUCCCUCGGCACUGACACUGAGAAGGUUUCAAGGACCCCACUACUAGGAGGCGAGAGUUUGACACGGCAUUGUCAUCACUGCCAUGGAUGACAACGUAACCAUUCCUGUUGCUGAUUGCCUGACUUGCGCAGUGACAAGCUUUUCAUGCUCUACUGUGUGUGUAACUUGGCAUAUCCACCACAGUUUAACUCUGUUUUUGCCUCUUUUGAAUAUGUGUACGAUAUAACCAUCUCAACCAACACGUGGGCCAAGGUACUGGAACAUUUCUCACUUCAAGUUGCUCUGUAGUCACUGGACAUUUUUUUAAACAUCUACGCAGUCACCACCACUCCACACCAUGUGCAUUUUAAUUACUUCUGAUUCCACUGACAUGCAGACUACAUCCUAUGCAAUUUCAGGUAAUUUACCUGGUACUGGAGAAACAGCAUUGUAUGCCAUUCUAAGUGAUACUUGCCUUGUUGUUUUGCAAAAAUAU